UGGUGGAGCGAUUUGUCUGGUUAAUUCCGAUAACGAACGAGACUCUGGCCUAUUAAAUAGUUCGCCGAUUCCGAUCUGUCGGCGUUAACUUCUUAGAGGGACGAGUGGCUUUUAGCCACGCGAGAUUGAGCAAUAACA
rnacentral:rRNA from 1 species